GCACAAGCGGUGGAGCAUGUGGCUUAAUUCGACGCAACGCGAAGAACCUUACCAAGGCUUGACAUAUACCGGAAACGUGCAGAGAUGUACGCCCCCUUGUGGUCGGUAUACAGGUGGUGCAUGGUUGUCGUCAGCUCGUGUCGUGAGAUGUUGGGUUAAGUCCCGCAACGAGCGCAACCCUCAUCUUCAGUUGCCAACGGGUAGAGCUGGGCACUCUGGAGAAACUGCCGGUGACAAGCCGGAGGAAGGCGGGGAUGACGUCAAGUCCUCAUGGCCCUUACGGGCUGGGCUACACACGUGCUACAAUGGCGGUGACAGCGGGCGGCGAUGGGGCGACCCUGAGCUAAUCCCGAAAAGCCGUCUCAGUUCGGAUUGCACUCUGCAACUCGAGUGCAUGAAGUUGGAAUCGCUAGUAAUCGCGGAUCAGCAUGCCGCGGUGAAUACGUUCCCGGGC
rnacentral:rRNA from 1 species